rnacentral:rRNA from 1 species
GAUGAACGCUAGCUACAGGCUUAACACAUGCAAGUCGAGGGGCAGCAUUUCAGUUUGCUUGCAAACUGGAGAUGGCGACCGGCGCACGGGUGAGUAACACGUAUCCAACCUGCCGAUAACUCGGGGAUAGCCUUUCGAAAGAAAGAUUAAUACCCGAUGGUAUAAUCAGACCGCAUGGUCUUGUUAUUAAAGAAUUUCGGUUAUCGAUGGGGAUGCGUUCCAUUAGGCAGUUGGUGAGGUAACGGCUCACCAAACCUUCGAUGGAUAGGGGUUCUGAGAGGAAGGUCCCCCACAUUGGAACUGAGACACGGUCCAAACUCCUACGGGAGGCAGCAGUGAGGAAUAUUGGUCAAUGGGCGCAGGCCUGAACCAGCCAAGUAGCGUGAAGGAUGACUGCCCUAUGGGUUGUAAACUUCUUUUAUAUGGGAAUAAAGUUUUCCACGUGUGGAAUUUUGUAUGUACCAUAUGAAUAAGGAUCGGCUAACUCCGUGCCAGCAGCCGCGGUAAUACGGAGGAUCCGAGCGUUAUCCGGAUUUAUUGGGUUUAAAGGGAGCGUAGGUGGACAGUUAAGUCAGUUGUGAAAGUUUGCGGCUCAACCGUAAAAUUGCAGUUGAUACUGGCUGUCUUGAGUACAGUAGAGGUGGGCGGAAUUCGUGGUGUAGCGGUGAAAUGCUUAGAUAUCACGAAGAACUCCGAUUGCGAAGGCAGCUCACUGGACUGCAACUGACACUGAUGCUCGAAAGUGUGGGUAUCAAACAGGAUUAGAUACCCUGGUAGUCCACACAGUAAACGAUGAAUACUCGCUGUUUGCGAUAUACAGUAAGCGGCCAAGCGAAAGCAUUAAGUAUUCCACCUGGGGGGUACGCCGGCAACGGUGAAACUCAAAGGAAUUGACGGGGGCCCGCACAAGCGGAGGAACAUGUGGUUUAAUUCGAUGAUACGCGAGGAACCUUACCCGGGCUUAAAUUGCAUUUGAAUAUAUUGGAAACAGUAUAGCCGUAAGGCAAAUGUGAAGGUGCUGCAUGGUUGUCGUCAGCUCGUGCCGUGAGGUGUCGGCUUAAGUGCCAUAACGAGCGCAACCCUUAUCUUUAGUUACUAACAGGUCAUGCUGAGGACUCUAGAGAGACUGCCGUCGUAAGAUGUGAGGAAGGUGGGGAUGACGUCAAAUCAGCACGGCCCUUACGUCCGGGGCUACACACGUGUUACAAUGGGGGGUACAGAAGGCAGCUACCUGGUGACAGGAUGCUAAUCCCAAAAGCCUCUCUCAGUUCGGAUCGAAGUCUGCAACCCGACUUCGUGAAGCUGGAUUCGCUAGUAAUCGCGCAUCAGCCAUGGCGCGGUGAAUACGUUCCCGGGCCU